rnacentral:rRNA from 1 species
AUUGAACGCUGGCGGCAGGCCUAACACAUGCAAGUCGAACGGUAACAGGAAGCAGCUUGCUGCUUCGCUGACGAGUGGCGGACGGGUGAGUAAUGUCUGGGAAACUGCCUGAUGGAGGGGGAUAACUACUGGAAACGGUAGCUAAUACCGCAUAACGUCGCAAGACCAAAGAGGGGGACCUUAGGGCCUCUUGCCAUCGGAUGUGCCCAGAUGGGAUUAGCUAGUAGGUGGGGUAACGGCUCACCUAGGCGACGAUCCCUAGCUGGUCUGAGAGGAUGACCAGCCACACUGGAACUGCGACACGGUCCAGACUCCUACGGGAGGCAGCAGUGGGGAAUAUUGCACAAUGGGCGCAAGCCUGAUGCAGCCAUGCCGCGUGUAUGAAGAAGGCCUUCGGGUUGUAAAGUACUUUCAGCGGGGAGGAAGGGAGUAAAGUUAAUACCUUUGCUCAUUGACGUUACCCGCAGAAGAAGCACCGGCUAACUCCGUG